rnacentral:lncRNA from 1 species
CCUCCUUCAAGAGUUUGCUCAAAUGUCACCUCAGUGAAGCCUACCCUAUAUCCUGUCCAAAAUUGCGAAACAUUUCUCCCCAUAGCACUUUCAUCAUCUAACAUACAUGGUGCUAACCAAGGGUGAGGGAACUCUAGAAUGGACAGUAGAAGACAGAGACCUGUAUCAUUUGCUGCCUCCAGAUCAGCUGCUGUGCUGGGGGCUGUGGCUUGUACCACAUCCAGCGCUGCAGCUGCCGUGGGCACUGCAGGUUGAUGGAGCUUGGGAUACUCUGCUGACAUGCUCCAGGAUCUAAUUUUUAGAGGCCAGACUGAUGAAUUAAAUGGGAAUUGAUCUUCUUCCUUUAGGUCUUUUAAGGUACUAUUUUCUGCUUUUUGCCUCAGGAUAUUUAAAAUUUGCAGUCUUGCUCAGAGGAGAAAUGUAUGGGCAGUUUCAGAGGCUCUCACUGGUCCGUCCCUACUUUUUAUUCACAGGCCAAGGGACCAAUGUGGAUAUGUGGGUGUUCUGGCAACUUGCAAGUAUUAUCUCUUUCAAUUACACAUUCAGGGACUGGGGACAUAACCACAGGGUUAGUCUCUGGACCAAGCGGACCUACUGAAGUAGGCCUGGGCUAGAAGUCCAUCUCUUACCUGGCUGUCAUCCAUAUUCACUCUACUAGGGACCAUGAUUUAUAUCACGCUGGAUAUCAUUGUCAUCUCAGACCUUGUGUUCAGCAGUUGUCAAAAUACUGGACUAUUUCCUUUCCCCAGGGUAUAGGUUACCCAAGUAAAUAUCUGCCAGUCCCUUUGUAGAAGGACUGGGGUAUCCUUGUCAUAUAGGCUUGCCAAGGUGUUGCAGGGUGCAUCUUCCUGAGGCUCUGGCCUUUCCUUCAGUUAGUGGGUUCCAAGUCUAAAGAUUAGUUUAGGUCCAGAAGCUCAUCAAAGAAUGCUGACUUUUUAUUGGCACAACUGCCGUUAGUCUCUUCACGAUCCUUCCUCUUGAUCCGUGCAUCAGAAUCACUCAGAAGGCUGUGUUAAACUACAGAUUGCUCAUCCACUCAGCCAGAGUUUCUGAGUAGGUCUGGGCUGGGGCCUGAGAAUUGGUGCCUCUCACAAUUUUCCAGAUGAUGCUGAUGCUGCUGGUCAGAGACCACACUUUGAAAACACUGUACAGAUCAAUCUGGGGACUCCCCAUGAGCUCCAGCCAUUUUCCCAACCUUCUGUGCUUCAGUCACCCCCUGCUGCUCUAACCUGCUGUUCAGUGAGCAGUUUGCCCCCACCUUGCUUCGGACAGUUAAACAUUGUCACCUGGCCUCUAGGGCUCUAGGAUCUUCCCUCUCCGUGUGAAUCAAUCGUUGGAUGUAGGCUGCCCCCAGGGAGAGGACCUGUCCUUGUGCCAGGGCUCUGGGCAAUGGGGACUGGCCGGGAGCUCUCAGCUGUCAGCACUAAACAACUGGGAAAAUUGGGUGUAUGGGGCUUGAAGGGAAAAUGUGGGUGGUGCUUUUCUGACCCUACCAUGAAUCUACCAGCAUCAGCCUCACAGCCAGGACUGGGGUGACAGGAGUGAGAUUUGCCUCAGGUACAAAAUUUAAGGGGACACCAAAAGAUUAAAUAAUCAAGGUAAACAUUUUGAAGCCACAUUUCAAAAAGCAAAAUGCAAAAAAAUUCCAUGAUAAGCAAAAUUUCAGAUUUUUAAAUAAAGGCAGGAUCAGUGUUAUGGAUCUUUCUGUUUCCCUUGCAAUCUGUCUACACCCACUGGAAGUUAAGUUCUGAGAGGGCCAGGGUUUCUGUUUGCCUUACUCACUGAUGUACCCCCAAUUCUUAGAGGAGUUCCUGGCACAUACUAGAUGCUCAGUUAAUCUUUGUUGAAUGAGACAUUUAAGACCUGUAAGGGAAGCAUGACCAUUUGUCUACACUUGCCCAUUUCUCCCUCUUCUCCCAGUAUUUCUCAGUUAGUACCGACUAGACAAAAGAGGCUUCUUCAUCUUGGAGCCAGGAGAAUUGGAGGGAGCUUUGUGCCAUGGAGGGAAAGCACCUGACAAAAAUAGCACAUAUUUUAUUGUUAAUGUCAAUUGUGAAGUGUGUUUAAAAGUAUUUCUUUAGUGAUUUCAUCAUCAGAUUUAAAGGAUAGAUGCAAUGCAUGUCAUUAUACUAACUAACCACAGCUAUUAGUUGUCAUCUUGUAUAAUUAUGAGAAACAGCUGUCAGAACUGCUCCUAAAAAGCUGCCCUGCCCCCAAGGAUUAGAUGGAUUUAGGAUUCCAGGACCAAAAGCAGAAGAGCAGAUCUUCAUGCAAGUGGCAAGUGUCAUGGUCAGCAGGUUCCUGUCCUCCCCUGCUUUUUAUCUCCAUGAGACAUCUGAUUAUUCCACCAGGAGCACCAAGGUUUAUGUUUCAACCAGGAAUGGCUGAAAUGGCAGACCUUUUGCACAUGACACUGGAAGAAGAUGUGACCAGAACUGCAGGGCACUAGCUCUGGCAGACCUGGGCAGCUGCAUAUGCAAAGCAGGGGAUUUCUCCACACCUUAGCCCUGGUUCAGCACCUAAGGAAAGGCAGUAACACCUCAAGGCGGCUGUGCUUCGCCACGCCAAGCCGGGCUGUGGCAUCCGCUGGGCUCUGGGCACUGUCGCGGCGGAACACUGUGAGGCUGCCCUGGGGGAUGGCGAGGUGCAGCCCGGCCAAGUAGCCCUUUUUUUUUUCCCCCCAUCAAAUGUGUGAAAGUACUUUUUUUCAUGGGGAGCUUUUGCUCAUUAAAAAGCUGGACCCUAGAUAACUGUCCGGAAGGGGUUUUGUGUGUCCGUUUCCUGUGCUUACUUCCCUUGAACAAAGGUGGCUCUGACAAGUCCCAGUCCCCCGGAAAGGGAAUCUAGGCCAGCCCGUUCUCUCUGUGGCUCACACCACUAGGGGGCGUGGAGGAUCGCUGACAAAGGAACUCAAAAGCCUGGGAUGCCUGAACUCACCAGCUGAAGCUGGAGACCUGCCUGCAUUCAACUCAUGAUGAAAAAGUUUCUUCCAAAAGCAGGCCCCUUGGGCGCUCCAGGCAGACACACAGGCCCACUGAGGGCUGGGCCAGAGCCGGUGGGGGCGGGGAACCCCAUUUGAGCAUCACAGAACAGUGCUCCUUCUUCUGAAGACGUUGCACCUGAAGAGCUAGACUGUGGCAGGGCCUUGAAGCCCUGAGAGCCUUGAAGCCAGAGUCCAUUUUAUAGAAGCGCAGACUCUGAAAGAAUAUACGUUCAGUAAUGUGAUUCCUUUGGGAGGUGGGGAACAGGCAGAUUCCUAUCCACAAGGUCCUCAGAUUUGUGUUAAUCAGAAAUUUAAAACAAAAAACAAAACAAAAAAAAAAACACACAGAAUCUCCCACAAGCAAUAGCCUGCAUUAUUUUUUUGUGGUUGAGACAUCAUUGACAUAGAGUAGGUUUAAAGUGUACAACGUGUUGAUUUGAUGCAUUUAUACAGUGUAUGAUCACCACUAUCAUGCCAGCCAACCUCCAUCACGUUAAGUAAUUACCAUUUCUUUUUUGUGGUGAGAACAAUUAAGACCUAGUCUCUUAGCAACUUUCAAUUAUAUAAUACAGUAUUAUUAACUGAAAUCAUCAUGCUGUGCAUUAGAUCUCCAGAAUUGAUUCAUCUUCUAGCUGUACGUUUGUGGCCUUUCGCCAACAUCUCCCCAUUUCCUCCACUUCCUGGCCCUGGUAACCACCCUUCUACUCUGUUUUUAUUCAGCUUUUUUAGAUUUCACAUACAAAUGAUGUCAUUACAAGAUUUGUCUUUCUCGGUCUGGAUUAUUUCAUUUAGCACAAUGUCCUGGAGCUCCAUCCAUGUUGUUGCAAGCAGCAGGAUGUACUUUCUCAUGGAUGAAUACUGUCCAAUUGUAUACAUGUCUGUCUUCUUUCUUCCUCAUUGAUAAAUGCUUGUUUCCUUAUCUUAGCUGCUGUGAAUAAUGCUGCAUUGAACAUGGUGGUGUAGAUCCUAUUUUCCUUUCCUUUGAAUAUAUACCCAGUAAUGAAAUUGCUGGAUCAUAUAUAGCUCUAUUUUUAAUUUUUUGAGGAACCGCCAUACUGUUUUCCAUAGUGAAUGGACCAAUUCACAUUUCCACCAACACUGCGCAAGUGUUCCCUUUUCUCCAAAUCGUUAUCAACAUUU